rnacentral:piRNA from 1 species
CACAGGAACUAAUAGGGCAGGGCUUA